GACGAACGCUGGCGGCGUGCCUAAUACAUGCAAGUUGAGCGCUGAAGGUUGGUACUUGUACCAACUGGAUGAGCAGCGAACGGGUGAGUAACGCGUGGGGAAUCUGCCUUUGAGCGGGGGACAACAUUUGGAAACGAAUGCUAAUACCGCAUAAAAACUUUAAACACAAGUUUUAAGUUUGAAAGAUGCAAUUGCAUCACUCAAAGAUGAUCCCGCGUUGUAUUAGCUAGUUGGUGAGGUAAAGGCUAACCAAGGCGAUGAUACAUAGCCGACCUGAGAGGGUGAGCGGCCACAUUGAGACUGGGACAGGGCCCAGACCCAUACGGGAGGCAGAGGUAGGAGAAGUGCAGCAAUGGACGUGAGUCUGACCGAGCAACACCGCGGGAGUGAAGGAGGUUAUCGGAUCGUGGUAGUCUGUUGGUAGAGUAGAGCGUUAGUGGGAGUGAAAAACUCAUCAAGUGACGGUAACUAACCAGAAAGCGACGGCUAACUACGUG
rnacentral:rRNA from 1 species